rnacentral:rRNA from 1 species
AUUGAACGCUGGCGGCAGGCUUAACACAUGCAAGUCGAGCGGGGUGAUGGUGCUUGCACUAUCACUUAGCGGCGGACGGGUGAGUAAUGCUUAGGAAUCUGCCUAUUAGUGGGGGACAACAUCUCGAAAGGGAUGCUAAUACCGCAUACGUCCUACGGGAGAAAGCAGGGGAUCACUUGUGACCUUGCGCUAAUAGAUGAGCCUAAGUCGGAUUAGCUAGUUGGUGGGGUAAAGGCCUACCAAGGCGACGAUCUGUAGCGGGUCUGAGAGGAUGAUCCGCCGCACUGGGACUGAGACACGGCCCAGACUCCUACGGGAGGCAGCAGUGGGGAAUAUUGGACAAGGGGGGGAACCCUGAUCCAGCCAUGCCGCGUGUGUGAAGAAGGCCUUAUGGUUGUAAAGCACUUUAAGCGAGGAGGAGGCUCUUUUGGUUAAUACCCAAGAUGAGUGGACGUUACUCGCAGAAUAAGCACCGGCUAACUCUGUGCCAGCCGCCGCGGUAA